rnacentral:rRNA from 1 species
ACUUGACAUCCCUUGCAUUACUCUUAAUCGAGGAAAUCCCUUCGGGGACAAGGUGACAGGUGGUGCAUGGUUGUCGUCAGCUCGUGUCGUGAGAUGUUGGGUUAAGUCCCGCAACGAGCGCAACCCUUGUCGUUAGUUACUACCAUUAAGUUGAGGACUCUAGCGAGACUGCCUGGGUUAACCAGGAGGAAGGUGGGGAUGACGUCAAAUCAUCAUGCCCCUUAUGUGUAGGGCUACACACGUGCUACAAUGGCUGGUACAGAGAGAUGCAAUACCGCGAGGUGGAGCCAAACUUAAAAACCAGUCUCAGUUCGGAUUGUAGGCUGAAACUCGCCUACAUGAAGCUGGAGUUACUAGUAAUCGCGAAUCAAAAUGUCGCGGUGAAUACGUUCCCGGGUCUUGUACACACCG